GACUCUUGUGGAGAACGAUUCACGUCCGCUAGAUGGCAACCAAACUCCCCAAAUCAUGUGAUUUCUUGUUGAUAAUUGUCUGAAGGCCGAGUUGACGGUCAAGAUUUGGUUCAAAUGGUUUCUUCAGUUCGGAGUUCAUCCUUUCAACCAGUAGAUAUCAGGAUGUCUAAAGCCGUCGAGGAUGACAAGAUGGGGAUUGAGCUUCCAGUGGACAGUACAGACUCUGAGAGGAACAGUCCAGAGGCCAGCGAUCAGACCCAGCCAAUGAAAACAAGUCCUUUCUGCCUGUCACCCGCACCCAGCAACACAAAGGUGUGUGUGUGUGUGUGUGUGUGUGUGUGUGUGUGUGUGUGUGUGUUAAUGCCC
rnacentral:lncRNA from 1 species